AAGGGAGACCUAAUUCGGGUAGAAGACGAAAAAAUAGUAGUCGAAACCAAGAAUCAAUCCCAAAAGGUCGGAACGAGGUAUGUGGCUUUCAAACUAGGUUCUGGGUUCAUAAAAGACCUGAAUCAGGAACAAGGGCUAUUAGCUCAGGUGGUUAGAGCGCACCCCUGAUAAGGGUGAGGUCCCUGGUUCGAGUCCAGGAUGGCCCACCUGUACAGGUGGCAAAAACAAAGAAAAGAAGCGAGGAAUCAGCACCUUAUCUUACUUAUAUAGUAAGAGAGAAUGCCGGCUCUGAGUUCAGAGUCCAGAGGAACCUUGAAAACUGCAUAGAGCUAGGUGAAAAAGCCAAAAAAGAAGACCACAA
rnacentral:tRNA from 1 species